GAUGAAGAACGUAGCGAAAUGCGAUAAGUAGUGUGAAUUGCAGAAUUCAGUGAAUCAUCGAAUCUUUGAACGCACAUUACGCCCCUUGGUAUCCCGAGGGGCAUGCCUGUUCGAGCGUCAUUUCACCACUCAAGCCUGGCUUGGUGUUGGGCGACGUCCCCUUUGGGGACGCGCCUCGAAACGCUCGGCGGCGUGGCACCGGCUUUAAGCGUAGCAGAAUCUUUCGCUUUGGAAGUCGGGGCCCCGUCUGCCGGAAGACCUACUCGCAAGGUUGACCUCGGAUCAGGCAGGGAUACCCGCUGAACUUAAGCAUAUCAAUAAGCGGAGGA
rnacentral:misc_RNA from 1 species